rnacentral:rRNA from 1 species
CCUACGGGUGGCUGCAGUGGGGAAUAUUGGACAAUGGGCGAAAGCCUGAUCCAGCCAUGCCGCGUGUGUGAAGAAGGCCUUCGGGUUGUAAAGCACUUUCAGUGGGGAAGAAAGCCUUGGGGCUAAUACCCUCGAGGAAGGACAUCACCCACAGAAGAAGCACCGGCUAACUCCGUGCCAGCAGCCGCGGUAAUACGGAGGGUGCGAGCGUUAAUCGGAAUUACUGGGCGUAAAGCGCGCGUAGGCGGUCUGAUAAGCCGGUUGUGAAAGCCCCGGCUCAACCUGGGAACGGCAUCCGGAACUGUCAGGCUAGAGUGCAGGAGAGGAAGGUAGAAUUCCCGGUGUAGCGGUGAAAUGCGUAGAGAUCGGGAGGAAUACCAGUGGCGAAGGCGGCCUUCUGGACUGACACUGACGCUGAGGUGCGAAAGCGUGGGUAGCAAACAGGAUUAGAUACCCCGGUAGUC